UUCCCCCCAAAAGAAGCACGCUUAUAAUUCAGACAAAUGAUGUUAAAAGCGCUAGUGUAGAAUAUAUACAAAACGCACCUAAAAAACCGAAUCUUGGAUGACGGCGUGGGGGAGGUAUCAGAAAAGACGAGGUGAAAAUAAACUAGGAUUAAAGGGCACGUGAAUUCGGUACCACACGAGGGGUUUAACCAGCACCAAGACCGGGGAAGAGGGUCGUGCAGUGCCAGGAAGCCUGCUAGAAGCCAGGGGCUGGAAACGGUUAGGACUGGAGUGGGGGGAACACGUUGGUCCGAGGGGGCGUGGGAGGUGGCGAAGAGCGGAGGAGACCGUGUGGGAAGAGGAGGGACUAGCACCAAGCGCCAUUUUCUUCUCUCGAAGCAUUCGCUACCCCCAGCCAAACAGCCGUCCUCCACCCCCGAGCCCCCGCCGCCGCCCCCCGCCCCGCCCUCCUCCGCCCUCCCCCGCAGGGUUCGGCACUCGCUCCCCCAGAGCGCCUCCCCACCCAGGAGGCAGGGGUGGGGGACUCCAGCGAGGCCUUGCAGAGAAGCAGGCCCAGCACGCGCCCCCUCCCGGGCCCCGGCCGCCGCUGCAUUGUCCCGGGGGCGCCCCGGCCCCCUCCCCGUGACUCCUCGCGCCCGGCCGCGCCCGCCGCCCGGGGCCGCCGCACCGGCAGCCCCGAGGCGGUUCCCAGGGCCCAGCAUGUGGCGUGGAGGGGCCUGCAGCGCAAAGGAUGCGGGGUCGGUGACGGAAGAAGGGAUCGGAGACGGAGGAGGGGGUCCGGGGAGGCCGAGGCCGUCUAACAACCUAGUGCUCGCUCGCUCGCGACUGACAGACAACCGGACGUGACGGAAGUCAAGAGACGCCGGCUCCGCCCCCUCUGAAACACGUGAUGGGGCGUGGCCUAGCCGCCGAAACCGACACCGAGACCCUUUCCAGAGCCUUAAAGGAACCGCCCCUCGUCCUGAACGGAUGCCUCGAAAGUGAGAUUUAGCAAAGAUUGGGUCAGACCUGUGAGUGAAUGAGGGAGUAAAUAAAACAUGAAGAGCAAGCAUUGAGCUUUGCACUUAUUCCAUAAAUGUUUCUUGUAUUAAAGUGAAG
rnacentral:lncRNA from 1 species